rnacentral:lncRNA from 1 species
AUAUAUCUCCCAAAUUAAAUUGGAUGAAAUAAAAAGAAUAAGAAGCAAAAAAAAUUUAAAGGCUCGGAUGAGCUUACCUUUUUGCACGUCCGUUGAUGCACCUACCACUUCCCCGAUCUUUAGCCGAGAGAGGAGCUCUUUCCCGAUGGCCAUGGAUGGGAGAUGGAAAGGGUGUUGGUGUAUGUGUGGUGCUUUCAAAUCUUGAAAGACCAUAAGAGGAGCCAUGGGCUUGGUUUCAAGAUUUUAGAAUUGAUUUGAAUCCUAGGACUAGGACGAGUUUGGUCCUAGGAUAGAGGUUCAGCCUCCAUGGGCUUGAGGCCCAAGAGAUUUGGGUCUCAAGGGGGCUAAUUUAUGUAUAGGCUGGGUUUGGGUCCAUGGGGAUGAGAACAUGCAAGAUUUAGGCUUGGAUGAGUGCUUUCAUGUAUGGAUUAGCCCAGGGAGUUUUGGACUAGGGUUUUGGUCCAUGUAUAUGCGUAUAUAUAUGUAUAUUGUAAUCCUAAUUUGAUAAGAGAAUCAAAGUGACUCUUUCUCCUUAACCUCUCCCUCUCUCUCUGGUCUUCGCACACUACCUAAGGAGGCAGCCAAAGGGGCUUCAAGCUAGG